GACGAACGCUGGCGGCGUGCUUAACACAUGCAAGUCGAACGGAAAGGCCCCUUUGGGGGUACUCGAGUGGCGAACGGGUGAGUAACACGUGAGUAACCUGCCCUUGACUUCGGGAUAACUUCAGGAAACUGGGGCUAAUACCGGAUAGGAAUCAUUGCUGCAUGGUGGGGGUUGGAAAGCUUCGGCGGUUUUGGAUGGACUCGCGGCGUAUCAGCUUGUUGGUGGGGUAGUGGCUUACCAAGGCUUUGACGGGUAGCCGGCCUGAGAGGGCGACCGGCCACAUUGGGACUGAGAUACGGCCCAGACUCCUACGGGAGGCAGCAGGGGGGAAUAUUGCACAAUGGGCGGAAGCCUGAUGCAGCAACGCCGCGGGCGGGAUGACGGCCUUCGGGUUGUAAACCGCUUUCAGCAGGGGCGAAGCUUGUGGUGACGGUACCUGCAGAAGAAGCACCGGCUAACUACGUG
rnacentral:rRNA from 1 species